UUAAGUCAGGCAACAAGCGAGACCCAUGCGUUUAGUUACCAACUUCUCCUCCGGGAGAGGUGUACUCUAAACGGACUGCCCGCGCUAAGUGGGAGGAAGGAGUGGGCGACGGUAGGUCAGUAUGGUCCGAAACUUCUGGGCUACACGCGGCAUACAGUGCAUGGGACAAUGGGCUGCGACUCCGAGAGGAGGAGCCAAUCCCCUAAAUCCAUGCGUGGUUCGGAUUGAGGGUUGAAACUCACCCUCAUGAAGAUGGAAUGGCUAGUAAUCGCGUGUCACUAUCGCGCGGUGAAUGUGUCCCUGCUCCUUGCACA
rnacentral:rRNA from 1 species